rnacentral:rRNA from 1 species
AGAGUUUGAUCAUGGCUCAGACAAACGCUGGCGGCGUGCCUAACACAUGCAAGUCGUACGAGAAAGGGUCCUUCGGGGCCUGAGUAAAGUGGCGCACGGGUGAGUAACGCGUGGAUAAUCUGCCCUUCAGUUGGGAAUAACUCAUCGAAAGGUGGGCUAAUACCGAAUAAUGCCGCAUGACCCCGGUUGUGCAGCCAAAGACGGCCUCUGCUUGCAAGCUGUCGCUGAAGGAUGAGUCCGCGUACCAUUAGCUUGUUGGCAGGGUAAUGGCCUACCAAGGCGACGAUGGUUAGCUGGUCUGAGAGGAUGAUCAGCCACACUGGAACUGAGAUACGGUCCAGACUCCUACGGGAGGCAGCAGUGAGGAAUCUUGCGCAAUGGGGGAAACCCUGACGCAGCAACGCCGCGUGAGUGAGGAAGGUCUUCGGAUCGUAAAGCUCUGUCGGUUGGGAAGAAACGCAUGGAGGCCAAUACCCUUCAUGCCUGACGGUACCAACAGAGGAAGCACCGGCUAACUCCGUGCCAGCAGCCGCGGUAAUACGGGGGGUGCAAGCGUUGUUCGGAAUCAUUGGGCGUAAAGAGCGUGUAGGCGGUUGGAUAAGUCAGAUGUGAAAGCCCUGGGCUCAACCCAGGAAGUGCAUUUGAAACUGUUCUACUUGAGUACGGGAGAGGAAAGUGGAAUUCCUGGUGUAGGGGUGAAAUUCGUAGAUAUCAGGAGGAACACCGGUGGCGAAGGCGACUUUCUGGCCCGAUACUGACGCUGAGACGCGAGAGCGUGAGGAGCAAACAGGAUUAGAUACCCUGGUAGUCCACGCCGUAAACGAUGUUCACUAGGUGUUGGGGGUAUUGACCCCCUCAGUGCCGCAGCUAACGCAUUAAGUGAACCGCCUGGGGAGUACGGUCGCAAGACUAAAACUCAAAGGAAUUGACGG